AAGCAACACUCUGUGGCAGAUAUCUAGUUGCCUGCCUCAAUUUCAGCUUGCUAUAGUAAAAAAAAAAAAAAAAAGUCUGAUCUAUUCCCGUGGUCUCUGUUGUGUGAGGUCAUUUGUUAUACAGACUAGAACAGC
rnacentral:snoRNA from 1 species